rnacentral:lncRNA from 1 species
GCUUUGUCAAUGCUUAUGAUUUUCAUUAAACGUAAUGAUCUUUGAUUGUAUCUCUAUUAUGAUGUCAUGUAGAGAACUUUUGAAGAAUGUUUUGGGUUGUCGAAUGAUGUCAUCCAAUCCAAUAAUACAAGGAAAAUCUAAAGGUUAACUAGUGAUGUCAUGGUUAAUUUGGGGCGUUGUCGUUUAUAAUUCAAUGAAGUAGUAACUGGAAAUCGAGUUGUUUGCAUAUAUGUCAUGUGUGGAGAAAAAGCCUCUAGCUAUCUCAUCCAUCAUCUUAUUUCUCAAAUUUGUUUUACAAUCUGUCUAGUUUUUCAUACUUGUUUGAUUGUUUCAACUUCAUCCAAAUCAAAACCCCCCCUUUUAGUUUCUUGUUUCAAAGUGUUUCAAAUCUGUUUUAGUUUGUGUUUUUAAGUGUUUUGAUUCAAGUAAAAGUCAAUUUUCGUCCAAAGUCAUUCCUAGUGUAUAGUUUAAGUUUAUUUGGUUGUUUUAAGCUGUUUUGAGUAUUUUAAGUUUACUUUGAGUCUUGUGAGUCUUGUUAAGUGUUUUUUAAGUUUAGUUUUAUGUUUUUGAGUCAGUUUAGAGGUUAUUAGCAAGCCCUCCUAAUCCCCGGUCCAGAACGAUCCCUACUUGUACUUAUACUACAAUUGUCAAAAGAUGGUUAAAUUUGUGUGUUAAGUUAACUUUCGCAUCAAGUUUUUGGCGCCGUUGCCGGGGAUUAGCAACUUUGCUAAUCCCUUGUUAUUUCUUUUUGUUUAUUUUCAUGUGUUUUUGUUCCUAAUUGAUGACUUUACUUGUUUUCUUGUUUUAGGU